rnacentral:lncRNA from 1 species
GGAUCCAGUGGCUUUGAAUUUCUGAAUUAUGGAGUCUCUGGCUUCCCUUUACUGAGUUAUGGGUACAGAUUCUGCUACCCAACCCACCUGGCUGCUAGUAUCUGCCAACCAUACUAUGAAACCUGUGGUAAUAUUCUCUAUGGAUUCAAUGGCUAAGCCUCCCUCUUCCUUCAGGCAAUAUAUUAGUAAAAGUCUGUAUGCCCGGCAGCCAUUGUUUCUUGCUACCCCCUCUUGCUUUCUGUUAUUUCUUCCAUUAACAACAUCUCUCAUUCUCAAUAACUGGGAAAUUCUGGAAUUUGUGUGUAACCUCCAAUUAUUCCUUUCUCUCUUUACUAUGGAAAAAUGGUAUAUGUAGUUUGGUUUUCAUCCAAGAGCAGUUGAAAAUGAAAAUUUUAACCUAAUAAAUGUAUGCAUUCUGAAACCUC